UACCUGGUUGAUCCUGCCAGUAACAUAUGCUCGUCUUAAAGGCUACGCCAUGCAAGCCUAAGUAUGAAUCAGCCGUGAGGACAAAGUGAAACUGCGAAUGGCUCCUUACAUCAGUAACGCUCCACGGGACGUGGCGAGACGCAGACAACAACUAGAGUGUGGUCUACUCGUGUGUGGAUAACUCUGGCAAAUCUAGAGCUAAUACGUGCACCUUCAAGCUCUGGCUCCUUGCGGGGCCGGAGCGCACCCGUUAGCACCGGCGGUGCUGCCGCGCGCCUCGCGCGCGCAGGCACACCGCCACUGGUGAACUCUAGACGGGAACUGUCGAUCGCCUGUCGCGAUUCGCGAGCGCCUGCUCCCGCAGGCUGCUGCGACGCGUCCCUCGAGUGUCUGCCCUAUCAACUGGAUGGAUGGUGCAUUGCCAUCCAUGGUGAUCACGGGUGACGGGGAAUCAGGGUUCGGUUCCGGAGAGGGAGCAUGAGACUCGGCUACCACAUCCAAGGAAGGCAGCAGGCGCGCAAAUUACCCAAUUCCAACUCGGAGAGGUAGUGACGAGAAAUACCGAUGCGAGGUUCUUCAGCGAGGCUUCGCAAUCGGAUUGAGUACAAUCUAGAUCCAUGAGGCGAGGAUCCAUUGGAGGGAAAGCCUGGUGCCAGCAGCCGCGGUAAUUCCAGCUCCAAUAGCGUAUACUAAAAUUGCUGCAGUUAAAACGCUCUUAGCUGAAAGGCGGGGGAGCGAGAGGUGGCUUCGCAUACACGCGGGCCGCUUAGAUCGCCCCACCUGCGUGCGUUGGCCCCCACGGGUUUCGAGGCAUGCGCGCCUUGCGUUCCGACGCUUGGCGACUCGACGAUCUGCUGGGUGCGCCUGCGCCACUGUUACCUUGAAAAAAUUAGCGUGUUCAAGGCAGGUCCGUAGAGACCGGGAUAUUGUGACAUGGAAUAACGGAAGAGGACCUCGCAAGCCGCACUGACGGCAGUUAAGUGUCCGCCGCCGACUCUGUUGGUUGUGCUGGGGCUUUUCAGCUCGUGGCGAGACGAGGUAAUGAUUAAGAGGGGCUGACGGGGGCAACCGUACUGCGUGGCGAGGGGUGAAAUCCUAAGACCCACGCAAGACGACCGAAAGCGAAAGCAGUUGCCAAGGAUGCCUUACUUAGUCAAGAACGAAAGUCGGAGGAUCGAAGACGAUUAGAUACCGUUGUAGUUCCGACCAUAAACGAUGCCGACCGACUGCUUGCCUGCAUUCCGCUCGUGAGUGGGCGAAUUGUGGAGCAGCAGUGGGAACCCCCGGAGGAAUCAGAGUAGCUAGGUUCUGGGGGUAAUACGGCUGCAAGGCUGAAACUUAAAGGAAUUGACGGAAGGGCACCACCAGGCGUGGAGCUUGCGGCUUAAUUUGACUCAACACGGGGAAACUCACCCGGGCAAAACAUAUCUGCGUGGAUUGACAGAUUGAGAGCUCUUUCGCAAAUGCUAUGACAGGUGGUGCAUGGCCGUUCUUAGUUGGUGGAGCGAUUUGUCUGGUUAAUUCCGUUAACGGGCGAGACUCCAGCCUACUAACUAGUUGGGUCGCCGCCUUCGCGCGCGGGGCUCGUCUCUGCCGCGGAGAGCGAGCGAUCGGUAGUGGACGGCGGCGGGGGUUACCCCCUCGUCGUCGGAAAUGAACUUCUUAGAGGGACAAGUGGCGGACAGCAGCCACGCGAAAAGGAGCAAUAACAGGUCUGUGAUGCCCUUAGACGUCCGGGGCCGCACGCGUGCGACACUGGUCGGCGCAGAAAGCAGUCGCACAGCACGCACCCGGCACGGUGGGUCAAUCUUGAAAGCCGAAACUCUCACCUGGGAUAGGAGCCUGGAACAUUCUCCUCGAACGAGGAAUGUCCCGUAGUGGCGGGUAAGUGGAGCCCGCCACGACUCCGUCCCUGUUCUUUGUACACACCGCCCGUCGCUACUGCCGAUUCGGCUCUGCCGAUGAGCACGUCGGAUUGGCGCCUGCCCGCAAGGGCAGAUUGCUUGCCGAAAAGUCGUGCGAAUUGGCAGGGCUAGAGGCAGUACAAGUCGUAACAAGGUAUCCGUAGGUGAACCUUCGGAUGGAUCAUU
rnacentral:rRNA from 1 species